UUUUUUCUGGAGAGGAAAGUUAGAGAGAGAAAUUUAUUAUUAAAUAUCUAAUGAUGUUGCAUCUGUUUCCAUAGAAUCUCUCCCCAAUAUAAUGUUAUUUUGAAAAAAAAUAGGAUUAGUUGGGGAAAUGACCCAGAUUUAUAAUCAUAUUCAUUUUUGAACAGUUUGUCAAUGUUAACGUGAAUCUUUAUUAUUAAAGAUGGUCUGCUUUUGCAUUUAACGAACCAUAAUGUUUAUUAUUAGUGCUAAGAAUAAUUUGAAAGAAAUAAGCACUAGUCCACUAUAUUUAUGUGUAUAAUGUUGCAUGUGUCUCUUCUUCAUCUGAUGACGUACUUCCUCUAGCGUUAGAUUAUUGUGGCCGGUGCUAAAGAAUACUUAGCCUCAUCUGGUUCCUUCUACUAUAUCUAUCUUUCAAUACGUAAUAUUGUCAAACAUAGUAGAAGGAACAUCCUAUUUGUGCUGUCAGCAUGACAAUAUAUGGCUAUGGCAUCACUGCAUAAUACAUUUUUGCUACUAUUUUCUGACUUGAUAAGUAUUUGAGACAACUUUACACUGUCAUACUCCGCACGUUGUCCUUCUUUUUUUAAUAUGGGCUGCUAGAAUCUACUCUGUAAUUUUUGUGUCCAAGUUACAGUUACAUCAAUUAAUAUAGUACAAUUGAUUUCCUUCCCCAACGACAUGUAUGCUUUUGCGUAUUAGUUGGUUUCUUUCUUGUUCAUUGAAAAAUAACAUGAAAUGUACAAUAAAUUGUUUUAGAGAAGCUUCUUGUUUAUCUCCGCCUUUGUGAAAGUUUGUUUAUCUCUUAUGGUAAUUAAUAAUUAAUAGUUCUUCUAUGUUUGGUUAGUAAGAUGUCAUAUAUUUCUACACAUUCUGGUCGGAGGAGGAGCAUAAAUGCAAUUCCAAAAGCUUGGAUGCCAACCGUUGUGUGUAGGAGAUGCAUUGAAAAAGCUGGAGAAUGAGAAUGGAAUUGUACCGAGAUUUGUGAUUGGAAAAAGGUGUAUGUUCUAUUAUUGGUGUGGAAUUAUGUUAAAUGUUGAAUAUCACUUUUGUUUUCUUAAACUUAAAUUGAAACUAAACAAUCUUGCAGUGCAAACCAUGGGGACAGUUUGACAGAGAUAUUGAUGCUGAAAAAAGUUUUACAGCCUGAAAUGACUCAAGGUUUGCUUGACUCAAGAUUAGUCUAUAAGCGGUAGAAGAAUAUGAUUAUGAGCCAGAAAUUGGAGUUAUAGGCGGGCAUCCUGGGCAGGGUGCGGAAGACCAAGGCCAUGAAGGGGAUGAGGAAGAUCAUGGAACGAGUGCUGAUCCAACUCAUAUUAUUGAUGGAGCCUUGGUGUGCUUCCACGAGAAACAUAAGUUGUACAGUCAAUGUGAUGAGUCCUGCAUACUGAUAGCGAAAGGAGAGCUCCACGUACCCCAUGAUCAUGUCGAUGAGUUUUGUAGCGGACCUUGCCUCGAGGAAACAAACCUUGUGUUAGACUACAUAGAUGGAAUUAUGGAUCACUUCAUAUUCUUUAACAAGGCCACCACUCAGGAUGUUAGGGAAACAAUUCUAGAUGGUUGUGGCCAUGGUGAUAAAAGAAGUGCAAUAUCCUACAUUAUUUAUAUUAUAGUCCGUUCCAAAAUAAUAGUUCACUUUUUAAGUUAAAACCUGAACUAGAUUUGUAUGGUUAAAUUUUGCCAAUAUAACCCGCGUCUCCUUCUUGGUUUUUGUGCAGGGUUCUUCGAUAUAGGAGAGCAUAUUGAAGCUGAUGAAGGAAGGGGAAUCAUUGGUAGCAAGGCUACGAAGACUGUACUGUCUGACAUUCUGAUUUCAAUCAUAGGGCAAAUUGUAUUACUACUGUAAAACCAGGGUAAUGACUAAUUAUUGACUAUUGUUAAUUUAUUACGAACUAUACGUGUGUUCCUAUUCCCCAUGAAGGUUGAUUUAUGUCCUACUUUUGCGGCGAGGUAUUCCUAGAAAAUGUAGGAUUUAAUCCAACUUAGAUAUAGUUACGCUGUAUACUGAUGUAUAAACUAAUUUGGGAAGAAAUAAUUCUAAUUAUCAAAACUACUUU